UACGUAGGGGGCAAGCGUUAUCCGGAUUUACUGGGUGUAAAGGGUGCGUAGGCGGCUUUGCAAGCCAGAAGUGAAAUCCAUGGGCUUAACCCAUGAACUGCUUUUGAAACUGCAGAGCUUGAGUGGAGUAGAGGUAGGCGGAAUUCCCGGUGUAGCGGUGAAAUGCGUAGAGAUCGGGAGGAACACCAGUGGCGAAGGCGGCCUGCUGGGCUCUAACUGACGCUGAGGCACGAAAGCGUGGGUAGCAAACAGG
rnacentral:rRNA from 1 species